UACGAAGGGGGCUAGCGUUGCUCGGAAUUACUGGGCGUAAAGGGCGCGUAGGCGGAUGUUUAAGUCAGAGGUGAAAGCCCAGGGCUCAACCUUGGAACUGCCUUUGAUACUGGACAUCUUGAGUGUGGGAGAGGUGAGUGGAACUCCGAGUGUAGAGGUGAAAUUCGUAGAUAUUCGCAAGAACACCAGUGGCGAAGGCGGCUCACUGGCCCGAUACUGACGCUGAGGCACGAAAGCGUGGGGAGCAAACAGG
rnacentral:rRNA from 1 species